GACGAACGCUGGCGGCGUGCUCAACACAUGCAAGUCGAACGAGUGGCGAACGGGUGAGUAACACGUGGGUGAUCUGCCUUGCACUUCGGGAUAAGCUUGGGAAACUGGGUCUAAUACCCGAUAGUGCAGGAUGAGCGCGGGGCCUAUCAGCUUGUUGGUGGGGUAAUGGCUACCAAGGCGCGACGGGUAGCCGGCCUGGGAGGGUGUACGGCCACAGUGGGACUGGGGUAGGGGCCAGACGCCUACGGGAGGCAGCGGUGGGGAAUAUUGGGCAAUGGGCGGAAGGAGGAUGCAGGGACGCCGGGUGGGGGAUGAAGGUCUUCGGGGUGUAAAGGCCUUUCGGCAGAGAGGCGGUACCUGUAUAAGAAGCACCGGCUAACUACGUGCCAGCAGCCGCGGUAAUUC
rnacentral:rRNA from 1 species